rnacentral:snoRNA from 1 species
UGACAGUAGUGAUGAUGAUGACAGUUGUCUUUGUCCUGAAACAGUCCAUGUGGGUUAUCAGUCACUACCUCUUCUGAACUGUCA